rnacentral:lncRNA from 1 species
AUGAAACGCAAAUUUAUUUUUUUUUGAAUAUUUGCCUUAUUACACAUCUUUCUUCAAUACAAAGUGGGAAACACAAUACCAAAAGACUCGACAUUAUUGUACAAAGCUAGAAGUUAAAAGACGACAUAAAAAAGAACAACAGACUCAAAGCAUAAAAAAGAAAAGAAAAUCUUCUUUUAAUCCACUCCUGAAUGAGCGAUCCUGACUAGAUGGUCCUGGAGCUCUGCCAUGCUCGAACUUCGAUAAAUAGACCCACAUCUGUAUGAGAAAACUUUAACCAAUACUAUGUGCGAUAAUAACACUCCUUAUUAGACAUAUGCAAGGCAUGAUUGGGACUAUUUUUUGCAAAAUGACUAGAAGUGCAAAAUUUGGCUAAGACCCCGCAAAGCCAAGAACCUAAGAUUUACUAAGAAGACCGGACCCUAUGUGGGUUGCCUACGUAUCAUGCCCCGAAAGACGAGAAUCAGAUAUGCGUGGUUCGGGCAGAUUGGAUGCGGGCGAGAAUUAAAAAAAUAACUAAUUUAGAGAAAACAUAUUUUUUGUCUUUUUCUUUAUAAAAAAAUGAUGAGACAUAGUAACUUUUUUUGGAUUUUUUCUUUUUCUUUUUUUUGAUUUUCUGAUUUACGGAAAAUGAUGAAAAGGUGCGAAAUCUCUUCUUUUUUUUUGAAUUUUCAAGCUCUUUUUUUCUUAACAAGAAUGUGACAGAAAACAUAAUUGGGACCCACUCGCUUUAUCUUCAUACUUCAACCUAUAUUUUUUUCUUUUUUCUUUUUUAUUGGUCCGCCAAAUAACCCUUUUACCCUUGAAUAAAUGCAACAUGUGGCACAUAGGAUGCAUCAAGAUGGUCUGUUAUUUUGGGUGCACCUGUCCUAGACGGACUCAACCCCUGUGUUGAGUCCCCAAAGUCAAAAUGCACAUGAUGCAAGCAAGCGCUGCUACUAGGGAUCCGGCAUGAGGCUAUGUUAUACUAGGUUUGAAAACCUGGGUUUAUCGUUAUAGACCUGGUCUACCCAAACGGACAACUCGAGGGGGGGCAGCGUACCAGAAAUACAGAAGCUUCACCGGCUUUGCAACUUGUCUGAACCUCGUUCUAAAUUUGGCAUAUGACUCUAACAAAAGAGAAGCUACACGAAGCGCACCCUUCUCAGAUGAUUUAUAAGAGUCAGAGAGAGGAGUGAUUCGUAACAAUUUAUAUACAGUUCAACCAUAUCAAAGCGGAAAAAGCAACGUUAAGCACAUUAGGCCCAAACAUGUAAUAAAAUAAGAUAAUAAAUAAAGCCAAAUAUAACAAUUCAUCCAAGCUCGAAUUCUUGAACCCUGAACCAGAAGUUCUAGGUUCUUUUCCCCAGCAGAGCCGCCAGAGAUGUCACACCUCCUUUUUACCUACACCCCCGUAAAGUGGUAUAUAAGGGAGUUUUUUCUAACUUAAAUUGACAAUCAAAACGGGAUUAAUUAUUAAAGAAUCAGAGUCGCCACUUGGGAUAAUUUAUGGUGUCUCAAAUCACCGGUUUAGAAUCCCGAAUCGAGGAAAGAUUGACUCUCUUUUACAGUCCGCGAAUACAAAAAUUGGGUAAGGAAUUCUGUUAACCCGGGAGAAGGUGUUAGGCAUUCCCGAGUUCCGUGGUUCUAGCACGGUUGCUCAACUGUUAUUAUUGGCCUAAUUAUCUGAUUUUAGAACACUUUCAAACCUAUGUGCAUAUUUAAUUCUAAACCGUUUUUAUUCAUUUUUAGGAAUAUAUCAACGUUAUACAAAACACAUGUUUGGAUCACGCCACUUGAAAUGCACCCGCGAUCCGCGACAUAUUUUAUUUAACGUUAUUAGAAUUUGGAUUUGGGUCACAUUAAAUACACACCCGAGUUUAAGGAAAUUAAUUAUUAAAAUAACGCGCCUAAAGCAACUACGCGUUUUUAAAUUUGCGAGGGCCAUGGAAAAUUUGCUAAAUGGCACACCUCGAUUUCUAAAGAGCAAACACAUUAAAAAUGAGGGACGUGCAUUUUAAGAUUUUAUUUGGCACGGCACGCCUCGAUUCCAAUUUUUAAAGAGAAUCCAAACUAAAUUUUCAGAGCCAUAAGCUAUUUUGUGUUAUUUGAUAUGGCACACCUCCUUUUCCUUUUUUAACUAGUGGUGGGAAUAAAGAAUGUAACAAUGCACACUCCAGACCUCUGAAACUGAAUCCUUAGGAAUUGAAAAAACAGCAGUUGAUAUCUUGAAUAACAACAAUGAGAUAAAUAAAAAAAAUAGAGAAAAGCUAUAGGAAUGGCUGGCAUAAGUAAUACAAAAUCUUCAAAUUUAAGAAAGGAAGUGGCAUUAACUUGAAACCAAUUAAAAACAAAUGACGAACUCACAGCGCCAUAAAAUAUGUAAAGUAACAAAUUUAUCUUCGUUGAGCCGAUUUUCCAAUUUAGAGCGACGUAAAAUUGUUCGACUAAAUACUACCAAUCAGAAAACUUUCAACAAACGAGUCUGAAAAGAAUUGGCGCCCUACGAAAUUGAAAACAUAACAAAAAUAGCAAACCAUCAAUUGUGAGGGGGAAUAGAAUGUAAUGUAAAUGAACUGGAGAAAAUUAGACAAAUUGAGAGAGAAGACAAAUAUGUUAAACUACCCAACAACCCAUUUAUUUGCUCUUCCUAAUUUAAUUUAACUGAACAAUUGUUAAUCCAUAAAAUAACAAGCAACUCAAUAUUUUUAGAGAUUUUAAGCUAAUUUCAAACAAAAAUACAGCAAACUAACCAAACAAGCAGACUAAUUAACAGAACAAAUUAUAGCAUAUCCAACAAUAUUAAACAAGGAAACUCACUCAAAAUGUUCAAACAACUAUGUAAACAGAAAUGAGAUAGAUCUCUAUUACUGUAAUUUGCUCUCAAUCACAUCAAAACAAAGCAAGGAAAUAGAAACACACCAGAAAAUGACCACAGCCGGAACAGGGACCCGAAGACCUUGAACGGAAUCGAGAAUGGCAACAGAAACUCGACCACGGGCUGGAAAUUUCGAGUUGGUGUUUCGACAGGUUUUGAGCCUGUUUGAUUGCGUUCCAAAACUGGAAUUAUUGGCCAGUUUUUAUGGCUUUUCAGGUCCGUUUUCCGGCGAGUUUAGGAAUUCAGAUCGGUUGCCUGUGUGAAAGAAAAAGGAGAGACGUUGGGGAGGGGGUGUUGUUUGGUUUUGCUCAAAUGCGGCGCUACUGAUUUUGUGAAGGUGGCAUGGCUUGUGUUGGUUUGGUGCUGCUGAAGGUUCCCGUUGAUGGGUGUUCUAAAGAAGUUCUGAAGAAGAAGACUUGAAAAGGGGGUGUGAAGAGGAUGAUCCGAGGGGGUGGGGGUGUCCUCUUUUGGCGUAGCUUUUCAGCUUUUCCAGCGUUAUUUU